rnacentral:rRNA from 1 species
UAUCUGGUUGAUCCUGCCAGUAGUCAUAUGCUUGUCUCAAAGACUAAGCCAUGCAUGUCUAAGUAUAAGUAUUAUACAGCGAAACUGCGAAUGGCUCAUUAAAACAGUUAUAGUUUAUUUGGUGAUCAAAUUACAUGGAUAACCGUGGUAAUUCUAGAGCUAAUACAUGCGUAAAGGGCCGUUAGGCUUGUAUUUAUUAGAUAACAGACCAAUGAAGUGGUGACUCAUAGUAACUGAUCGAAUCGCACGGGCUUGCCCGCGAUAAAUCAUUCAAGUUUCUGCCCCAUCAGCUGUAGAUGGUAGUGUAUUGGACUACCAUGGCUUUCACGGGUAACGGAGGAUUAGGGUUCGAUUCCGGAGAGGGAGCCUGAGAAACGGCUACCACAUCUAAGGAAGGCAGCAGGCGCGUAAAUUACCCAAUACUGAUUCAGUGAGGUAGUGACAAGAAAUAGCGGGCCGGCUUCAUGCCGGGACUGAAAUGAUUAGAAUUUAACGACCUUUACGAGGAACAAUUGGAGGGCAAGUCUGGUGCCCAGCAGCCGCGGUAAUUCCAGCUCCAAUAGCGUAUAUUAAAGNUGUUGCAGUUAAAAAGCUC